UACGUAGGGUCCGAGCGUUGUCCGGAAUUAUUGGGCGUAAAGAGCGUGUAGGCGGCCAUGUAGGUCCGAUGUGAAAACUCGAGGCUCAACCUCGGGCUGUCAUUGGAAACCAUGUGGCUAGAGUCCGGAAGAGGAGAGUGGAAUUCCUGGUGUAGCGGUGAAAUGCGCAGAUAUCAGGAAGAACACCUAUGGCGAAGGCAGCUCUCUGGGACGGUACUGACGCUGAGACGCGAAAGCGUGGGGAGCGAACAGG
rnacentral:rRNA from 1 species